UACUGUAGGGUGCAAGCGUUGUCCGGAAUUAUUGGGCGUAAAGAGCUCGUAGGCGGUCUGUCGCGUCGGCUGUGAAAACUCGGGGCUCAACUCCGAGCUUGCAGUCGAUACGGGCAGGCUAGAGUUCGGCAGGGGAGACUGGAAUUCCUGGUGUAGCGGUGAAAUGCGCAGAUAUCAGGAGGAACACCGGUGGCGAAGGCGGGUCUCUGGGCCGAUACUGACGCUGAGGAGCGAAAGCGUGGGGAGCGAACAGG
rnacentral:rRNA from 1 species